UGGAGUCUGGGUUGCGCCCAUGGCAAUGACAGGCCGCCUCGCUCAGCAGGGAGGGCCGCACAGGCUUCGCCCCGCCGUUUCCGGAAGACCCGGGGCCGGGAUCCCGGUCCUGCUUGUCUCUCCCCCUCUCAGUGGAACAUUGAACAACUCAACAGGAACUUACAUGGCAGAUCCCCGGGGCGUUGGCACAUCUUCUCUCCGCAAGGACUGAGGUAACAAAGGUGUUCAUUUUAAAAACACUUCCUUCUCCCAGGUCCAAGCCUGAUGCCAUUUACCCUUGCAGCAAACUCACGAGCCCCAGGCUCAACCAGAGCAGGGUGGAUGAUGAGACAACCAGCGGCAGAGAGGAGCUAUACCUUCUGCUGAGAACUGAAGACCAUGGGAUAACCAACUGCAGAGAAGAGCUACCCUCUCUGCUGAGAGCUGGAGCAGAUGAUGGGAUGACCAGCUGCAGAGAGGAGCUACCCUUUCUACUGGGAGCUGGACACUUGUUGGGAUGACCUGCAUGCAGAGAGGGGCUGCCUGCUGCAGGAGACUGAGCUGUUCUAUUGCUCAAUAAAGCUCUCUUUAUCUUACUCACCCUUCA